UUAUAUAUGAAACGACAAAGAGUGAUGUCGUGGUAGAAUCUCCGCAUCCUCUGAGCAAGCAAGCAGGUAAGCAAGCGAGUGCAGAAAAAACCCUAAAACCCGAAUCAAAGAGCAAUUGGACCAUCACUCUGGCAUUGGGUGAAGUGAGAAGCGUGAUCAAUGGGUGCAAGUCGAAAGCUCCAGCGAGAGAUAGACCGUGUUCUCAAGAAGGUUCAGGAGGGUGUUGAAGUCUUCGAUAGCAUCUGGAACAAGGUUUACGACACGGACAAAGAAAGAGAAAUUUGAAGUGGACCUCAAGAAAGAGAUUACGAAGCUACAGAGAUAAAGAGACCAAAUCAAGACGUGGAUUCAGUCCAGUGAGAUCAAGGACAAGAAGGUGGUGGUGGCUGAAUGGCCGGGUGCAAACCUUGCUCAUGCUCAACCAAAUACAUUUGCUUCUUCAAUUUUUCAAGGGCCUGGAACUGGAUACCCAAUGUAGCGAACCGAAUACAGUGUUUUUGAAAAUACUUCGCAGGAGUGGAACCGAAUACCACGCUCCUGGAACCGAAUACCACGCUCUUGGAACCGAAUACGCCUCGGUGAUCAAAAAUGUAUCCACGCAAAUCCGUCGUCGUCCAUCCGCUCUUUUCUUCUCAAGCGAACAUGAAAGAAUAUGCAUUUCUUUGCUCUCAAAACCGCAUGAACAGUUAAAUCUGUUCAUGCGAACACAGUCUAAAAGAUUUGUUAUUAGCGUGAGUGAUGGAACAACAAGAAGUGUGAGAUAAGUUUUUAGAUUUAUUAGAGUUCAUAUAUAAUUUUAGUAACAUUUGAGUAAUACCAUAUAGUAUUAUGCGAACAAAAAUGUUUAACUAUUG